rnacentral:lncRNA from 1 species
UGUUUUUAGAGCUAUGAGGAUGGUGGGACCUGGGGAGAGUGUAUGGGCUCCUGAGGAAGCCCAAUAGGGAGAGAAAGAUCUUACGUGUGAGGAAGACCAUGAAAAGGGUUAGGAAGUUGGGGGAGUCCCCAGGACCCAGAGGCAGGGGCAGGAGGAGGUUUUGAGACUUGGGUCUGACAGUGGAGCACCACCUGUGCUGUGUCCUGGCUGUGGGAUGACCACGAGGGGACCACUGGACCAGGACUUCAUUUCCUUGUUGUCAAGGUGGAACAUCCUCCUUUCUUCCCUUCUAGGUUCUUUGGCUGGUCUAAUAAUUAAAUUAACAUAAGGCAGAUUAACAGGAGCAAAUGCAUUUAAUUACAUCUAUACUGCCACCCCACAAAGACGUAAGACUCAAAGGCAGUGGGACAAUUGAGGCUCACAUGCCAUCCUGAGCUAAGGAAGGGGGGCACUUGGGUGGCUCAGUGGUUGAGCAUCUGCCUUUGGCUUAGGUCAUGAUCCCGGGGUCCUGGGAUCGAGUCCCACAUCGGGCUCCCCUUAGGCAGACUCCUUCUGCCUCUGCCUAUGUCUCUGCCUCUCUCUGUGUGUCUCUCAUGAAUAAAUAGAUAAAAUCUUAAAAGGAAAAAAAAAAAAAGGAAUGGACAGGGGCCUGGGGCUCCAGAGGGAGGAGGACAAGUCACAGGAAGAUGAGAAGAGCAGAUGUUUGGUAAUCAGAUAUUGGUGUGGCCAUGCAGGUAAGUCUCUCUGACUAAAAAAAAAAUCUCUGGUAACAGCUCUCUCUCUCCCUAUUUCAAUUCUUCUAGUCCAUUAAAGAAGUAAAAAGCUUUUUCUGAGCCUUUUGGGUCUUGAUUGCUUUCCCCUCAAAUAAUCUACAUGCCAAAGUGGCACAUUUCUGAGUGAUGUAUUCUGCUGCCUUUCAUCGCCCACCGGGCCAGGGCUGGUUCCUGGUCCUGGGAAUGCAGAUCUCCGUGGCAGCUGGUGUUCUUAUGAGGGUCAGGCAUCUCAGUUUCGUCUGAGCUUUAGCUCCUGGCCAGCAUGUCUCCUGCCCAGAGAGAUUAAUGGAAGAUUCAGUCAGGAUGGGUCUGUGAACCAGCAUGAUUGCCCUGUAGGGCAGCGAGAUGGUCAAGGCCCACCCAGCACAAAGUCUAGAAGCAAAAUGGAGGAGACUUGCUGCUGUUCAUUCCCUCCCCACGCAUCUGAUCAGAGAGGAGAGUUAUGUAGGAUGGGGGACCCAGUCUCCAUUCAAUUCAAGGGGCUGCGAGCUGACAUAUCAGAGAAGCCACCCUGGGACCUUCUGCUGAAAUCAGAGACUAUUUCGAUGGCAGUGUCCUCCCCAAAACAGUCUGCCCUGAAUGCUGGCUUUGGCAUUAUUGCUGCUGGACCCUCAGGAUUAUGCUGUUAAACUCUUUUUUUUUUACAUUGUUGUGUGUGUUGUUGUUGUUUUUUUUUAAUUGAAGGUCCCUUACUGGUCCUGUUUCCAUGAGUGCCAAGACCAGGGGAAAAGGGGAGGCAGCGCAAGGAAGGGUCAUCUCCACAACAUUCCAUUUAUACACAGAACUAAACAGACAAGCACAGAGUCACUAUUGCAGUUAGAAGUUGGCAGCAUAGGAAAAGGGAGGAACAGGUGGGGAACUGGGGUGUCAUUAAAAAAAUACAGGCUCCCCCAAACUGGGGUGCCUGGGGGGAACUUGGUCUGCUUCAACCCAAGAGGAAUCAGAAGAUCAAAAAUGUUUUGAGAAAGACAGAACUGUCAGGGAUAGAGGGAGGAGGAAGGUCCAGGGGGUGAGGGGGCUGUUUGGCAACUGGGGUGAAGGGAUUGCCCUCCCGCUGCUGGGAUCCCCCCAGCCCCUCCAGUCUGGCAGGAAGGGGGCAGGCUACAACCCCCAUGGGCAGGUCUGGGGCUGCCAGAUGCUCCAGGCAGGGGGCUGGAGGGGGCUCACAAAGGCUUGCCCUCCAGAGAGAUGACGGCACUGCCCCCCAGUUUCUCUGCCAGGGUGCAGCGGUCCUUGACCUCCUCAUAGCAGUUUGCUUGUAACUCAUGCUUGAUCCCUGUGAGGAAGAAGGGGAGCAUCUGUGAGCAGGAUGCAUUGGGGGAAGGGAAGUCAGGGCUGGGAAGGAGCCAAUCAGAACAGAUGGAAGGGACAAGGUUACCUUCUAGCAGGCAGGGAAGAGGAGGGGGAGGAAUCUCAUAUACCACGGCAUUCAUCCCACCCUACAGCCAAAGCCUGAGUGAAAAGGUGNAUUUUGCCCUUAAGGGGUGCAGACUUGGGUGCUCAGAAGAUAAACACCAGGUCCUCCUUCUUGCUCUCCCUGGUCUCAUAGGUGCGUCAUAGAGGGCAUAGCGGCAGUCCUUGUCUGGUAGAUAGCAUCUUGACAAAGGUGGCGUAGGGGUCAUCUACAGU